UACGUAGGGUGCAAGCGUUGUCCGGAAUUACUGGGCGUAAAGGGCUCGUAGGCGGCCAACUAAGUCGGACGUGAAAUCCCCAGGCUCAACCUGGGAACUGCGUCUGAUACUGGAUGGCUUGAAUCCGGGAGAGGGAUGCAGAAUUCCAGGUGUAGCGGUGAAAUGACGUAGAUAUCUGGAGGAAUACCGGUGGCGAAGGCGGCAUCCUGGACCGGCAUUGACGCUGAGGAGCGAAAGCCAGGGGAGCAAACGGG
rnacentral:rRNA from 1 species